UCUCCCUCUCUCUGUGCCCCUCCCCUGCUCACGCUGUGUGUCUCUCUCAAAAAUAAACAUUUAAAAAAUUUUUGAAGGAAAGAAAAAGAGACUGGAAAAUCAUGGAAGUCCUAGAAGAGAACAGGACAAAGCCCCUUGACAUGGGUCGUGGUGAUGCCUUUUGAGUGUGACACCUAAGGAAGGCACAAGCAAUGAAAGCAAGACUACACAACUGGGACCAAACCAGAGUCUGCACAGAACAAAUGACCAGCAAAAUGAAAAAACAAACAAACAAACAAAAAAAAAAAACCCCAGCCUGCAGAAUAAGGAAAAAAUGUGCAAACCAUGUAGCUGAUAAGGUGGUAAUAUCCAAAAUAUAUAAAGAACUCUACCUUAAUAACAACAAAACAAUAAUCCUAUUUUAAAGUGGGGAAAAGAUCUGAAUAGGAACUUUUCCAAGGCCACGUACACACUAAGGUGCCCCACGUCACCCCUCACCAGGGAGAUACGAGGCACUUCUGUCACAAUGUCCGGACUCAAACACUAGAAGCUGCAGGUGCUGGUGAGGAUGGGGAGAAACCACUGGUGGGAAGGUACCUGGGUGCAGCCACUGUGGAAAACUGUGUAGAGGUUUCUCAAACGACUGAAAAUGGAAGUACCGUGUGAUCCAGCAUUUCACUCCAAGGAGGCAAAACCGACACCGAAGGGGCACCCGCACCCCGUUUUCAGAGCAGCACGAGCAUUAUUCACAAGAGCCAAGACAAGGAAAUAGCCUGAGUUUCCACUGACGCAUGAAGGAAACGUAGUACACACACAAGGGAACAGCAUUCAGCCAUAAAACAAGAAGGAAGUCCCGCUGUUUGUGACAACGUGGAUGGACCUCGAAGGGAUUGUACCAACGGAGAAAUCAGAGAAACACAAGUACUGGGAUCUCACUUGUUAAUGGCAUCUUAAAAACAAACUCAAGAAAAAAGCGAACAGAUUUGUGGAUACUGGAGGCACAGUGAGGGGGUGCGGAAUUGGAGGAAGGGAUCCAGUGGUACAAACUCCCAGCUGGAAGAUAAGGAAGUACUGAGGUGCAACGUACGACAUGGGGACACGGCCGAGUCUGUGAUACAUCCUAAAAGUUCUAUGAAAAGAAAAAACAUCUUUCCUUCUCACGUAGGUGACACGAUGUCGCUGUGCCCAGAAUUCCAGCCGCCGUGCUGCACGUCUGGUGCUCAGCGGUGCUGUCUGCAGCGACACGUCCAUAAAAUGAGAAAUAAAACAAGGGAACCUGCAAACUUCACCUCCUUGGAUCAGGAUACAGACCCUUAUCCAUGCCAUCCUUCAAACUUCAGUCUCACGCUUCAUUAUCUCCAACGAGAUGCCCCCAAAUUACUUGGAAACCAAAUAGUCAUCUGCAUUGUCUUCGGUUGCUCCUCAGGCAAUAAAAUGCUAGGCUGAAGUGCUUUAGUUACCCCAAGGCAGCAAGGGCAAACUCUUUAAUUCCUGGCAUCAUGAGCAACCCCAGAAGCACCUGUUCACGGUACUGAGAAAGCAGCGGCUACUGUCCCCAGGGGCCUGCUGCACCUCUUGGUCCAAAAUGUACCAAUACACAGAUUUUACCACAACAGGAAAAACUACACCAACACUGAAUGGUGAUGGGGGCGUCUGGGGGGCUCAGUCAGCUAAGUGCCUGACUCUUGAUCUCAGUUCAGGUCAUCAUCUCACAGUUCAUGGCAUGAAGCCCCGAGUCAGGGUCUGUGCUGACAGUGCAGAGCCUGCUUGGGAUUUUCUCUCUCUCUGUCUCUGUCCCUCCCCUGCUCGCAUGUGCAAACACUCUCUCAAAAUAAAUAAACCUAAAAAAAAAAAAGAAAACCAAAACCCUGAAUGGUGACGGAUGAGCCACACCAUUUCAUUGGAGAGGACAAAGGGAAUAUUAUACCAAAAUACCUCUGAAAAACAGGAACUAAUGCAGGGACCCCAAAGAAGAAUACGACACAACACACUGGUUAAGUCCCACACAUGCCACGUAACCUGUGGGCACUGGUUCCGUCCAUCUCCUGCGUAAUGCCAAUACUUUAAUAAAAGCAAUUAAAUGUGUGUACUUUUUCAAGGUAUUUGAGUUCACAGGGGAUUUUUAGGGGAGAAAGUUAAAAAUCGUUGGGUCAGGUAUGCCAAUAUUAGGAGAUCACUGUUGUAAUUAUAUGGUGAGAGUUCAAGGUCAGUGUGUAAGUCACCAGGUGUGCAGUGUGUGACCUGGUGCGAGUGACUUACGUACAUGAACCCACGAGUGCUCUGAUGCCCAGAAUCGCUCGCACGCUAAACGCAUCUCCUGGUGUCGACACAGAAGAACCGGAGAACCACGUUCCCAGCCAUGGCGGAUCGCACGCGGGGCUCCCGGGUCGCACUGUGCACCCAGGGAAGGGAGGUGACGGUGUGUGUGUUGGCGUCAAGGCCACGGGAACCUCCCCAGAGCCUCUCCUUGGCAUCAGCAUCAGCCAGCGUGUGCUCACUCUGCCUGAAAGCCGUGGAGACGACACCUGCUCUACAGCCUCGCUCCCAAGCUACGAGCGGCCCACGCGGGAAUGGGCACGGGCUGCCGUGUCUCAAGGAACAUGGAGAGCCACAGCCAGGCCAAGGGUUCCAAUUAUGAUGUCAUUUUCAGAGACUUUUUCUAGACCAUUCUAAACUUGAGAACUCACAAUAAUCUUACGUUUACACACCCAGAGGUUACUGACACACUGGUAAUCCUGGAGAAAAUGCUUUCACCACCCAGUUCAGGCCUCUAGGUCAAACUGUGAAUCCAUAUCCCCGGCUCUGUAGAGCUGUCGGGCCACAGGGACAAUUCUGACCGGGACACUCAGCAGCCCACAGGAAGCGCACGCUGAAAAUACCGUAGAGGGACGUGGUCUGACUCCCGCUGGCGUGGAGAGAAGCUCGGAGGCCGCGCCGGGGAGGCAGAGACCUGGCCUUCCUGGCAGAGGGAGGCAGUGGGCCAGUGUGAAGCCGAGAGGGGCAGCCCGGUUCCCAAGCCCUGCUUGUCCCCACUGUCCCACCUGGAGGACCGGAUGACAGAGAUGUCUUGGGUACACGCAGACGCAAAGGCAAUGGUGACAAGCAUCCCUCCCUCCACUGAGGGCAUGUGGCUAACCGGGGUCCUUGAGAUCCCGAGCAUCCACACCAGCUCUGAACCGUUCACGUGGGUGGAAGGGAAGACGGAAGCCUGGGAUUCAGAGGAAAGCGCAUCUUUGUGUGGACGAGGCCAGUGAACAAGAAAACACACUCUGUAGUCCCAAACAGGGUCCAAACCCAAUGCCCGUCAGCAGAGGGCUCAGUGAGACAGCAGGGUGCGUCUGCACCCAGCUAGAAGGGCCCACGGGUGCGACCAUGACACUGCCAGCAACAUGUGCACACGAAUCACAAAGGCAGAAUGCCAACAGUCCCCACUCCCUACCGGGUGGUGCCCCUGUACGUGCAGGUGCAGCCAUGUCUAGUCUUUAUACAGUUACGUGUACGUGUUCACGUACAUGUCCUGAUGGAGCCAUCCCUGCAUGGGGCAUUAAAGUUUUUAUAUGUUUA